rnacentral:lncRNA from 1 species
UUUGCUCUCUUUUCUCUCCUUUUUCUUUUCCUUUCUUUUUCUUGUUUUCUUCUUUUGUUUGAUUGUUGUUGUAAUCUUGUUGUCGGUUGUAAUUGAGGGCCCUAGUUUGUUUGUUGCGUCAAUUGGAAGGUUUUUGUGCAAGUUCGGUUGUAAUAUCUUUUCGUUUCUGCAUGUUUCUCUUAUUUUCGGUUAUUUUUUGUCGAAAUGGUUUUCUGCUCGAAUUCUCUGUUUGAAUGUUCAAUUGGUUUUCCUUCUAGGCGAAGAUCUUACAGGAGACAUUUCUC